GGCCUAACACAUGCAAGUCGAGCGGCAGCGGGAAAGUAGCUUGCUACUUUUGCCGGCGAGCGGCGGACGGGUGAGUAAUGCCUGGGAAAUUGCCCAGUCGAGGGGGAUAACAGUUGGAAACGACUGCUAAUACCGCAUACGCCCUACGGGGGAAAGCAGGGGACCUUCGGGCCUUGCGCGAUUGGAUAUGCCCAGGUGGGAUUAGCUAGUUGGUGAGGUAAUGGCUCACCAAGGCGACGAUCCCUAGCUGGUCUGAGAGGAUGAUCAGCCACACUGGAACUGAGACACGGUCCAGACUCCUACGGGAGGCAGCAGUGGGGAAUAUUGCACAAUGGGGGAAACCCUGAUGCAGCCAUGCCGCGUGUGUGAAGAAGGCCUUCGGGUUGUAAAGCACUUUCAGCGAGGAGGAAAGGUCAGUAGCUAAUAUCUGCUGGCUGUGACGUUACUCGCAGAAGAAGCACCGGCUAACUCCGUGCCAGCA
rnacentral:rRNA from 1 species